CCGUUCCUCGUUGGGGGCUCUCUUCGUGCAGCGAUGGAGGUUCCCAGCCCCUCCUCUGCUUCGUUCUACGGGGAGGAUGAGGCGCCCCUGCCUCGCGUGGCCCGCGCCCGCAACCCUCUGCCUCGCGCGCCCGUUCCAGCGGUGCGUUGACCUCCAGCAUCGACAGCACCUAGCCCAGCAGCCUCCAAGGCCCAGCCAGACCCGCCGACCUGCUACUUCCAUCGGCCGGGCCAAGGCCCAUGGGUGAGGCCACCCCGGAGCGCCCUCCCUUUUCCCCCCGGCUAUCGGGUCAUUCAGAUUCAGCCCGCUUACAUUUUUUUCAGAUCGGCGAAUUUUUCUAUUAACCAGGGUUUUGCCAGUUUUGCAAAGACACCCUUGCACUUCAUGCAUAUCCUAACUAAUUAACCGUGCAUCGGUUUAAAACAAACUUUAUAUGUAAAAUGUCUAGAAUUUUGUCUAGUUUAAUAAUAUCCAACUUUCAUCUAUGUUUAAAAUGUUUAAAAUGCUGCUUGCGUAAUUUUGUCCAUAUGCCAUGUUAAAAUGCUUUAAUUCAUAACUUAAUAACCGUAGCUCGGUUUUUAAUAAACUUUAUAUGUAAAUGGGGUAGAAAAAUGCAUAGAUUAUCAUGGUGGCUUUACUUUGCAUGUUUAAAAACUCUGAAAUAUGGUUUAGGGCAGAACAGUACCAAAACCUAAAAUAUGCACAUGAGGAGUUUCCGGACUUGUUGUUCGUUGUUCUGGCCUCAUUUAAACUUGCCUAGAUAGGUAGUUUUCAUUUGCUUCAUCUCUUGUCAUGAUAAUCAACAUUUAAUAUUGUUGAGUACUUAAACGGGAGAGAACUAAAUAAUUGUUGUGGUGUUUUGUUAAUAUGCAACUCGUUGCAUAUUGAGCUCCACUUAAUUGGUAGUAUUGGUUGUGCACUUUGCCAUGCCAUGCUUCAUUAAACCGGACAUGCAUCAUACUUGGUUGUGCAUCAUGCCAUAUUUAUAUGAUGGUUGUUUAGUAUGUUGUUUGCUUCUUUCCGGUGUUGCUUCUUCGGGUUAGUUCUGAUAAUGUCGCGUUUGUGAGGAUCUGUUCGACUACGUCUGUUUGUCUUCUUCAUGGACUCGUUCUUCUUCCUUGCAGGAUUUCAGGCAAGAUGACCAUACCCUCGAAAUCACUUUUAUCUUUGCUUGCUAGUUGCUCGCUCUAUUGCUAUGCCACGAUACCUACCACUUGCUAUAUCAUGCCUCCCAUAUUGCCAUGUCAAGCCUCUAACCCACCUUUUCCUAGCAAACCGUUGUUUGGCUAUGUUACCGCUUUGCUCAGCCCCUCUUAUAGCGUUGCUAGUUGCAGGUGAAGAUGGAGUUUGUUCCAUGUUGGAACAUGUAUAUGUUUGGAUAUCACAAUAUCUCUUAAUUAAUUUAAUUCAUCUAUAUACUUGGUAAAGGGUGGAAGGCUCGGGCUUAUGCCUGGUGUUUUGUUCCACUCUUGCCGCCCUAGUUUCUGUCAUACCGAUGUUAUGUUCCUUGAUUUUGCGUUCCUUACACGGUUGGGUGUUAUGGGGACCCCUUGACAAUUUGUUUUGAAUAAAACUCCUCCAGCAAGUCCCAACCUUGGGUUUACCAUUUGCCUCAUCACCACCUACUUUUCCCUUGGGAGUCAUGCUCCCAAGGGUCAUCUUUAUUUUAACCCCCUCGGGCCAGUGCUUGUCUAAGUGUUGGUCCGAACCGGGCAGCAUGCGGGGCCACCUCGGGGAAACUUGAGGGCUGGUUUUACUCGUAGCUUGACCUAUCCGGUGUUGCCCUGAGAACGAGAUAUGUGCAGCUCCUAUCAGGAUGUCUGCACAUCGGGCGGUCUUGCUAGUCUUGUUUUACCAUUGUCGAAAUGUCUUGUAACCGGGAUUCCGAGUCUGAUCGGAUCUUCCUAGGAGAAGGAAUAUCCUUCGUUGACCGUGAGAGCUUGUGAUGGGCUAAGUUGGGACACCCCUGUAGGGUUUUGAACUUUCGAAAGUUGUACCCGCGGUUAUGGGUAGAUGAGAAUUUGUUAAUGUUAGGUUGUAAAAAACUUGAAACUUGACUUAAUUAAAAUGCAUCAACCGCGUGUGUAGUUGUGAUGGUCUCUUUCCGGCGGAGUCCGGGAAGUGAACACGGUUCUUGUGUUAUGCUUGAACGUAAGUAGUUUCAGGAUCACUUAUUGAUCACUUCUAGUUCACGACCGUUGCUUUGGUUCUCUUCUCGCUCUUAUUUGCGUAUGUUAGCCACCAUUUAUGCUAGUGCUUGUUGCAACUCCACCUCACUACCUUUUUCCUACCGAUAAGCUUAAAUAGUCUUGAUCUCGCGGGUGUGAGAUUGCUGAGUCCUCAUGGCUCAUAGUUACUUCCAAAAAAACAGUUGCAGGUGCCGAUGAUACCAGUGCAAGUGAUGCAACCGAGCUCAAGGAGGAGCUCGAUGAAGUUCGUGUUCGUUGUGUUGUUUCGUUUAUUUUCGAUCAGUAGUGGAGCCCAGUUGGGGCGAUCGGGGAUCUAACAUUUGGCGUUGUCUUUAUUUUGGUUCCGUAGUUGGACCUUGAUUUGUAUUCUGGAUGAUGUAAUGCUAUAUUUACGUAUUGUGCGAAGUGGCGAUUGUAAGCCAACUCUUUAUCCCUUUCUUAUUCAGUACAUGGGAUGUGUAAAG
rnacentral:lncRNA from 1 species